GGACACGUGGCGGAAUUGGUAUACGCGCACGUCUCAGAAGCGUGUCCCGUAAGGGUUGAGGGUUCGAGUCCCUCCGUGUCCA
rnacentral:tRNA from 1 species